AGAGUUUGAUCAUGGCUCAGAACGAACGCUGGCGGCGUGCUUAACACAUGCAAGUCGAGUGCGCGUGCCGUAGCAAUACGGUAUGGCGCACGGCGCACGGGUGCGUAACACGUGGGCAAUCUGCCCCCCGAUGGGGGAUAACUCCGGGAAACCGAAGCUAAUUCCGCAUAACAUUCCCUGGACUCCGGUUCGGGGAUUCAAAGCAGCAAUGCGUCGGAGGAGGAGCCCGCGCCCGAUUAGCUAGUUGGUGAGGUAACGGCUCACCAAGGCUAUGAUCGGUAGCUGGUCUGAGAGGAUGGCCAGCCACACUGGAACUGAGACACGGUCCAGACUCCUACGGGAGGCAGCAGUGGGGAAUCUUGCGCAAUGGGCGAAAGCCUGACGCAGCGACGCCGCGUGGGGGAUGAAGCUUCUCGGAGUGUAAACCCCUUUCGACCGGGACGAAUGCCCGCAAGGGAGUGACGGUACCGGUAGAAGAAGCCCCGGCUAACUACGUGCCAGCAGCCGCGGUAAGACGUAGGGGGCCAGCGUUGUUCGGAAUUACUGGGUGUAAAGGGUUCGUAGGCGGUGUGGCAAGUCGGGAGUGAAAUUUCUGGGCUUAACUCAGAACCUGCUUCCGAAACUGCUGUGCUGGAGUGUGGGAGAGGCGCGUGGAAUUGCAGGUGUAGCGGUGAAAUGCGUAGAUAUCUGCAGGAACACCCGUGGCGAAAGCGGCGCGCUGGACCACUACUGACGCUGAGGAACGAAAGCUAGGGGAGCAAGCAGGAUUAGAUACCCUGGUAGUCCUAGCCCUAAACGAUCAGGACUUGGGGUGCCACCCGUUCGGGUGUCGUCCCGGAGCUAACGCGUUAAGUCCUGCACCUGGGGAGUACGGUCGCAAGACUGAACUCAAAGGAAUUGACGGGGGCCCGCACAAGCGUGGACAUGUGUCAUCGACGCUACGCGAGGACCUUACCUGGGCUCGAAUGCUUCUGACCAGCUGUAGAAAAUAC
rnacentral:rRNA from 1 species